CCUACGGGGGGCUGCAGUGGGGAAUAUUGGACAAUGGGGGCAACCCUGAUCCAGCCAUGCCGCGUGUGUGAAGAAGGCCCUCGGGUUGUAAAGCACUUUCAGUGAGGAAGAACGCCUGGUGGUUAAUACCCAUCAGGAAAGACAUCACUCACAGAAGAAGCACCGGCUAACUCCGUGCCAGCAGCCGCGGUAAUACGGAGGGUGCGAGCGUUAAUCGGAAUUACUGGGCGUAAAGCGCGCGUAGGUGGCUUGAUAAGCCGGUUGUGAAAGCCCCGGGCUCAACCUGGGAACGGCAUCCGGAACUGUCAAGCUAGAGUGCAGGAGAGGAAGGUAGAAUUCCCGGUGUAGCGGUGAAAUGCGUAGAGAUCGGGAGGAAUACCAGUGGCGAAGGCGGCCUUCUGGACUGACACUGUCACUGAGGUGCGAAAGCGUGGGUAGCAAACAGGAUUAGAUACCCGAGUAGUC
rnacentral:rRNA from 1 species